CCCUUGCCCCGGACACCAGCCUGGACCUCCCAGGCCUCCCCAGGGAGGAGAGAGGAGCCAGCCAGCCCGGGGGGGGGGGUGAGGAGAGGGAGUGGAGAGCCCAGCCCCAUUACUCAAAAACUGGCCAAUGGGUUGCCUGGGAUUAAUGCUGGAAGAUCCCCUAGCGACCAUCUAGACGGUUUCUCCUUCUUCCCAUUUUACAGGGCCAGGACCGGAGCUCGAAGGCAGGCACGCAGCCGCCAAGCCAGGGCUCUCUCCAUCACCAUGGAUUGACCCGGUUUGUCUCCUCUCCCACCCUGAAGCUGCCCUUUACUUUCUGUGUCCUCAGAAUGCCACCUCAGAGCAGGGAACAGAGAGCAGCGGAAAUGAGCGCCCUCUCCCCAUUCCCCCCAAAAAGAAAUAGGACGACCCUCGGAACAAAGGAUGUCAGAUGUGGGAAAGACCUUGGAACAGGGAGCAGAGAGGGUCAGAGCUGGACUUCCCACUACAAAGUCCCGAGGACGCAGGAGUCAGUGUCCUGGAAGAUCUCCAGGGAAGAGAAGCUGCCGCCUCCCAAGAGAAGCCCAUCCCACUUUCCUAGGGCUCUAUAAACUUGACUCGACUCUGCAUCUCCUUCCCUUUGCUCCCAGUGUCCCAGUUCUGGAACCAAGCAGAGUGUUUGCCACCCCAAAAAGAGGGGCUCUGAGUGUAUUUGUACAGAUGGCUCCUUUUCCUCCUCCUUUGAUCUCAGGUAAAAGCCUAAGAGUUAACAGCUCCAUCAUCGUGCAUUAUCAUACAUUGAUAUGCCUUUUUUGCCAAAGUCCCUCCAACAUUUAUCAUUUGGUCAGUUUUCUCACUCUGAGAAGUGUGUGGUCUAAUCUAAGAGUUGCUUUAAUUUGCUCAUGAUUUGGAACAUUCUUUCAUGUAGCUUCAGCAGUUUAGAUUUCUUCUGAAAAUUUCCUGUUUAUAUCUUUGACCAUUUUUCAACUUAAGAAUAUAGGGUUUGUUUCAUCCUUGUCCCCCCAAUUCCAAGCCCACUUCAUGGUACAAAGUCGAUGCCUGAUGAAUCUUGGUUGAUUAAUUGAUGUGGCUGGAAGUCAAGACCCUUCAACACUCUGGUUGACCUCCUCUGGACACUCUCCAGCUCAUCAACGCCCUACCUACACCUUGGUGCCCAAACUGAACAUGGCACUCCAUGGAUAUAGUCCAAUGAGGGCAGAGCACAGUAAAACAGUCACCUUCCUCUGACUGGUAGCUUGGUCUCAAGAUGGCAUCAGCCUUCUUGUAGACCACAUCCCACCAAUGACCCCUACUGGGCCGCCCUUUGGACCUGACUGCAUUCCAUUCUUUCA